rnacentral:rRNA from 1 species
CCUUGAAAUACCACCCUUUAAUGUUUGAUGUUCUAACGUUGACCCGUAAUCCGGGUUGCGGACAGUGUCUGGUGGGUAGUUUGACUGGGGCGGUCUCCUCCUAAAGAGUAACGGAGGAGCACGAAGGUUGGCUAAUCCUGGUCGGACAUCAGGAGGUUAGUGCAAUGGCAUAAGCCAGCUUGACUGCGAGCGUGACGGCGCGAGCAGGUGCGAAAGCAGGUCAUAGUGAUCCGGUGGUUCUGAAUGGAAGGGCCAUCGCUCAACGGAUAAAAGGUACUCCGGGGAUAACAGGCUGAUACCGCCCAAGAGUUCAUAUCGACGGCGGUGUUUGGCACCUCGAUGUCGGCUCAUCACAUCCUGGGGCUGAAGUAGGUCCCAAGGGUAUGGCUGUUCGCCAUUUAAAGUGGUACGCGAGCUGGGUUUAGAACGUCGUGAGACAGUUCGGUCCCUAUCUGCCGUGGGCGCUGGAGAACUGAGGGGGGCUGCUCCUAGUACGAGAGGACCGGAGUGGACGCAUCACUGGUGUUCGGGUUGUCAUGCCAAUGGCACUGCCCGGUAGCUAAAUGCGGAAGAGAUAAGUGCUGAAAGCAUCUAAGCACGAAACUUGCCCCGAGAUGAGUUCUCCCUGAC